GAGAAGUGGUGCUUAAAAAGGGAACAGCGGCAGGGAUUCCAUGGCUGGGAAAGGAGCCCAAAAAAGGGACAGUGGGAUCGAGGCAUUCCCAUCCCAUCUCUACUCCUGCACGCUAACCCAAGCAGGUGGAACAGGGACGUGACACUCUCUCUCUACAAUCAUAUUCGUAUUGUUCCCUCCCUAAGAAAAAUUGCAGAAAAGAACAAAAGCUAUACAACUGUAGCAGCCAUGAGCCAUACACAGUAUCGGAUACUCGGAAUUCUUAAUACACUGGUCAAUCAGAAUUCGGCUGGUUGCUUACGCCUAACAAAGUGGGAGGGGGUAAUGAUUGGAUCAGUGGUCCUCCUUUUAACUCUUCUUCUUCCUCUCUUUUUGGCCAACUUAAACUUGGCGGAUCAACAGUCCAUGGAAGCUGGAAAGAUGCACACAAUCAUCACCGAAUCUCUCUCUUUCUCUCUCUCUCUCUCUCUCUCUGUGUUGGUAGUACUGUGACAUUACCAAAUACAUGAAAAUAUUUUCUGAAAAUGAAUGAAGCCUGCAGAGUGAGUGAUACUAAUGUAGGCUAUGAGCUAAGCCUAAUGUCACGCAGCACAACACAAGGGAAAUGUGACAGCAGUAGUUGGGGACCUCACAAGAGGAGGAGGAGGAGAUGGCUGUGGCAGGCAUCAUGAUCACAGUUCCUGUGGAAAAAGCUGGUGGCUCGAUGGAGGGAACUGAAGAGGAGCUCCGGAAAAGCACUCGAUUCAAUG